ACAAGCUACAUUUUUAAUAAGAUCUUUUUGUGUAAUUGUGCUGUUAUCCCUAAAGUAUUUUGUAUUUUUAAUCCUUAAGGUUCUUAAUCUUGGAAAAAUAAUUAUUAUUUAUAAUAAUUACCCCAAUUAAAUUUAACGUAAUAAAAAUAUUUGUUUAAAAUUUUAGGGUCUUCUCUUCUUUUUAAUUUAUUAGAGAAAUUUCUCUCUAAUUUUAAUAUUAAGUAUAAAUAGUUUAAAUCUAGGAUGUCUAAGUUUCCCCCUUCAUUCUAUUAGGAAAUUAACCUAAAAU
rnacentral:rRNA from 1 species